AAUAUGAGAAGUUUUGUACAAUCAUCAACAUUCAAAAUCUGUAGUGCCAGCGAUUGGACAGUCGUUGAACCAAACAUCAGGUGACAACAACAUUGAAUUAGAAACACUUGGUUCACUUCAUUGGUGACUGACACUGUAGCAUUGGACACUUGGUUUAUUCUUCAGCGAUUGCUGUAAAA